AGUGAACGCUGGCGGUAGGCCUAACACAUGCAAGUCGAACGGCAGCACAGGAGAGCUUGCUCUCUGGGUGGCGAGUGGCGGACGGGUGAGGAAUACAUCGGAAUCUACUUUUUCGUGGGGGAUAACGUAGGGAAACUUACGCUAAUACCGCAUACGACCUACGGGUGAAAGCAGGGGAUCUUCGGACCUUGCGCGAUUGAAUGAGCCGAUGGCGGAUUAGCUAGUUGGCGGGGUAAAGGCCCACCAAGGCGACGAUCCGUAGCCGGUCUGAGAGGAUGAUCAGCCACACUAGAACUGAGACACGGUCCAGACUCCUACGGGAGGCAGCAGUGGGGAAUAUUGGACAAUGGGCGCAAGCCUGAUCCAGCCAUACCGCGUGGGUGAAGAAGGCCUUCGGGUUGUAAAGCCCUUUUGUUGGGAAAGAAAUCCAGCUGGUUAAUACCCGGUUGGGAUGACGGUACCCAAAGAAUAAGCACCGGCUAACUUCGUGCCAGCCGCCGCGGUAA
rnacentral:rRNA from 1 species